rnacentral:tRNA from 1 species
GGGGCUGUAGCUCAGUGGUAGAGCACUUGCCUGGCAUGUGUGAGGCACUGGGUUCGAUCCUCAGCACCA